rnacentral:rRNA from 1 species
UGAGGAAUAUUGGUCAAUGGGCGCAAGCCUGAACCAGCCAUCCCGCGUGAAGGAAGAAGGCGCUAUGCGUUGUAAACUUCUUUUCCAGGGGGAGAAUUUUUCCGUCGUGACGGGAAUUGACGGUACUCUGGGAAUAAGCAUCGGCUAACUCCGUGCCAGCAGCCGCGGUAAUACGGAGGAUGCGAGCGUUAUCCGGAUUUAUUGGGUUUAAAGGGUGCGUAGGCGGAUAGAUAAGUCAGUGGUGAAAUUCUGCAGCUUAACUGUAGACUUGCCGUUGAUACUGUCAGUCUUGAGUAUGGUCAAGGCAGGCGGAAUGUGUAAUGUAGCGGUGAAAUGCUUAGAUAUUACACAGAACACCGAUUGCGAAGGCAGCUUGCUGGGCCAUUACUGACGCUGAUGCACGAAAGCGUGGGGAUCGAACA